GUUUUAAUAGUAUUAUUAAAAAGUAAUCUCAGAAAUAAUAACUUCCAAUUUUUUGUCUUAUAGUUGAAGAAAUUGAAGUCUAGUGACACUCAAUGACUUGCUCAAGGUCACACAGAUCCCGGCAUAGUGGUAUUUUAAGGAAUUGAUAUCAACAAGCCGCUAUGAUGUAAAAAGGUUACAGAUCUGGCUCAAGAACCAGAAGAACUACAUUCAUUUCCCACUUCUGCUAACUCCCCAUGGCAGUCACUUGGGCAAGACACUUAAAUUUUCUCCCUUCAGAAUUACGGG
rnacentral:lncRNA from 1 species